ACUCCCAGACUCCUUGCGGAGCUCGCCGCCUGAUUCUAGGCUGGUCACUACUCCGAGCCUGUGACGUUUGCGGCAGCCAGGCCGUCGACGAUGCCCAGUGAAACUCUCUGGGAAAUUGCAAAAGCUGAAGUGGAAAAAAGGGGAAUUAAUGGAAGUGAAGGUGAUGGAGCUGAAAUUGCAGAAAAAUUUGUUUUCUUCAUUGGCAGUAAAAAUGGGAGUCUCGCUCUGUCGCCUAGGUUCGAGUGCAGUGGUGUGAUCUCGGCUCACUGCAGCCUCUGCCUCCUGGGUUCACACCAUUCUCCUGCCUCAGCCUCCCAAGUUGCUGGGACUGCAGGUGCCCACGACCACGCCUGGGAAAGACUACUAUUAUUCUAAGGUGUCUUGACAGAGAUGAACCACCAAAACCAACCUUAGCUUUGGAAUAUACAUAUGGAAGAAGAGCAAAAGGGCACAACACACCAAAAGAUAUCGCUCACUUUUGGGAACUCGGUGGAGGAACCUCUUUAUUGGACUUAAUCAGCAUACCCAUCACAGGUGACACCUUACG
rnacentral:lncRNA from 10 species